rnacentral:rRNA from 1 species
AGUGAACGCUGGCGGUAGGCCUAACACAUGCAAGUCGAACGGCAGCACAGUAAGAGCUUGCUCUUACGGGUGGCGAGUGGCGGACGGGUGCUGAAUACAUCGGAAUCUACUUUUUCGUGGGUGAUAACGUAGGGACACUUACGCUAAUACCGCAUACGACCUACGGGUGAAAGCAGGGGAUCUUCGGACCUUGCGCGAUUGAAUGAGCCGAUGUCGGAUUAGCUAGUUGGCGGGGUAAAGGCCCACCAAGGCGACGAUCCGUAGCUGGUCUGAGAGGAUGAUCAGCCACACUGGAACUGAGACACGGUCCAGACUCCUACGGGAGGCAGCAGUGGGGAAUAUUGGACAAUGGGCGCAAGCCUGAUCCAGCCAUACCGCGUGGGUGAAGAAGGCCUUCGGGUUGUAAAGCCCUUUUGUUGGGAAAGAAAAGCAGCAGGUUAAUACCCCGCUGUUCUGACGGUACCCAAAGAAUAAGCACCGGCUAACUUCGUG